rnacentral:rRNA from 1 species
CACGUAGGGGGCGAGCGUUGUCCGGAUUUAUUGGGCGUAAAGAGCUCGUAGGCGGCUCGGUAAGUCGGGUGUGAAAACUCAGGGCUCAACCCUGAGACGCCACCUGAUACUGCUGUGGCUAGAGUCCGGUAGGGGAGCGUGGAAUUCCUGGUGUAGCGGUGAAAUGCGCAGAUAUCAGGAGGAACACCAGCGGCGAAGGCGGCGCUCUGGGCCGGAACUGACGCUGAGGAGCGAAAGCGUGGGGAGCAAACAGG